AGAGUUUGAUCCUGGCUCAGAACGAACGCUGGCGGCGUGCUUCAUACAUGCAAGUCGAACGAGAAAAUUCCGCUUCGGUGGAAUGAGUAGAGUGGCAAACGGGUGAGUAACACGUGGGCAACCUGCUCUCAAAUUGGGGAUAACCUCGCCAACGCGGGGCUAAUACCGAAUGUUGUCCUAAUAUCGCAUGGUAUAAGGAUGAAAGCUUUUUUUUAAUAAGAAGGCGUUUGAGAAGGGGCCCGCGUCCUAUUAGCUUGUUGGUGAGGUAAUGGCUCACCAAGGCUGCGAUAGGUAGCCGGCCUGAGAGGGUGAUCGGCCACACUGGGACUGAGAUACGGCCCAGACUCCUACGGGAGGCAGCAGUAGGAAUAUUGCGCAAUGGACGAAAGUCUGACGCAGCAACGCCGCGUGGGUGAUGAAGUUUUUCGGAACGUAAAACCCUGUCAGGAGGGAAGAAACUCUCGAUUUUUUCGGGACUGACGGUACCUCCAGAGGAAGCUUCGGCCAACUCCGUGCCAGCAGCCGCGGUAACACGGGGGGAGCAAGCGUUGUUCGGAUUUACUGGGCGUAAAGGGCGUGUAGGCGGAUGGGUCAGUCAGAUGUGAAAUUCCAGGGCUCAACUCUGGACCUGCAUUUGAUACUUCUCAUCUAGAGUAUGGGAGAGGAGAUCGGAAUUCCUGGUGUAGCGGUGAAAUGCGUAGAUAUCAGGAAGAACACCGGUGGCGAAGGCGGAUCUCUGGCCUAAUACUGACGCUGAUGCGCGAAAGCUGGGGGAGCAAACAGGAUUAGAUACCCUGGUAGUCCCAGCCGUAAACGAUGGGCACUAGGUGUUGGGGGUAUUGAUCCCCUCAGUGCCGGAGUUAACGCAUUAAGUGCCCCGCCUGGGGAGUACGCUCGCAAGGGUGAAACUCAAAGGAAUUGACGGGGGCCCGCACAAGCGGUGGAGCAUGUGGUUUAAUUCGAUGCAACGCGAAGAACCUUACCGGGGUUUGACAUGCCCGUCAUACCUUGAUGAAAGUCAAGGGUCAGUUCGGCUGGACGGUGCACAGGUGCUGCAUGGCUGUCGUCAGCUCGUGUCGUGAGAUGUUGGGUUAAGUCCCGCAACGAGCGCAACCCUUACCCUUAGUUGCCAGCACGUAAUGGUGGGAACUCUAAGGGGACUGCCUCGGAUAACGGGGAGGAAGGUGGGGAUGACGUCAAGUCCUCAUGGCCCUUAUGCUCCGGGCUACACACGUGCUACAAUGGUCGGUACAGAGGGCUGCGAAACCGCGAGGUGGAGCUAAUCCCAGAAAGCCGAUCUCAGUUCGGAUUGGAGUCUGCAACUCGACUCCAUGAAGUCGGAAUCGCUAGUAAUCGCGAAUCAGCAGGUCGCGGUGAAUACGUUCCCGGGCCUUGUACACACCGCCCGUCAAGCGAUGGAAGCUGGUGGUACCCGAAGUCAGUAGCCUAACUUUUCGAAGAGGGAGCUGCCGAAGGUAAAACUGGUGACUGGCGCUAAGUCGUAACAAGGUA
rnacentral:rRNA from 1 species